CCUACGGGUGGCAGCAGUGGGGAAUAUUGGACAAUGGGGGGAACCCUGAUCCAGCCAUGCCGCGUGUGUGAAGAAGGCCCUCGGGUUGUAAAGCACUUUCAGUGAGGAAGAACGCCUGGUGGUUAAUACCCAUCAGGAAAGACAUCACUCACAGAAGAAGCACCGGCUAACUCCGUGCCAGCAGCCGCGGUAAUACGGAGGGGGCGAGCGUUAAUCGGAAUUACUGGGCGUAAAGCGCGCGUAGGUGGCUUGAUAAGCCGGUUGUGAAAGCCCCGGGCUCAACCUGGGAACGGCAUCCGGAACUGUCAAGCUAGAGUGCAGGAGAGGAAGGUAGAAUUCCCGGUGUAGCGGUGAAAUGCGUAGAGAUCGGGAGGAAUACCAGUGGCGAAGGCGGCCUUCUGGACUGAAACUGACACUGAGGUGCGAAAGCGUGGGUAGCAAACAGGAUUAGAUACCCGGGUAGUC
rnacentral:rRNA from 1 species